rnacentral:rRNA from 1 species
GACGAACGCUGGCGGCGUGCUUAACACAUGCAAGUCGAACGGAAAGGCCCUGCUGUUGUGGGGUGAUCGAGUGGCGAACGGGGGAGUAACACGUGAGUAACCUGCCCUUGACUUUGGGAUAACUUAAGGAAACUGGGGCUAAUACAGGAUAGGAGCUCCUGCUGCAUGGUGGGGGUUGGAAAGUUUCGGCGGUCGGGGAUGGACGCGCGGCUUAUCAGCUUGUUGGUGGGGGAGUGGCUUACCAAGGCGUUGACGGGUAGCCGGCCUGAGAGGUUGACCGGCCACAUUGCUACUGAGAUACGGCCCAGACUCCUACGGGAGGCAGCAGUGGGGAAUAUUGCACAAUGGGCGGAAGCCUGAUGCAGCAACGCCGCGUGCGUGAUGACGGCCUUCGGGUUGUGAACCGCUUUCGCCUGUGACGAAGCGUGAGUGACGGUAAUGAGUAAAGAAGCACCGGCUAACUACGUG